UACGGAGGAUGCGAGCGUUGUUCGGAAUUACUGGGCGUAAAGCGCACGUAGGUGGAUUCGUAAGUCGGUUGUGAAAUCCCCGGGCUUAACCCGGGAUGUGCAGUCGAAACUACGAACCUUGAAUGCCAGAGAGGGUGGCGGAAUUCCUGGUGUAGAAGUGAAAUUCGUAGAUAUCAGGAGGAACACCGGAGGCGAAGGCGGCUACCUGGCUGUGCAUUGACGCUGAGAGUGCGAAAGCGUGGGGA
rnacentral:rRNA from 1 species